UGAAAACGAAAGAACUGGAAAGGAACACUUCACUCGAACUUUACUGGAAAGGAACAUUUAACACGAACUUUACUUUAUGGGUCAGUUUUAUUUGCUUAUCGUUCCUCCCUAUACGUUUAUUUAAAACGGGAUCAUCUCACACCACUCAAGAGGUCAAUUCAUUUCGGUUUUGACCGCGAGUUCUUUCUUGAGAAUAUCGUUGUAUACCAGAACGUGAUAGUCCUGACGUGUAUCGUGGAGGUUGAAAUGGGUUCUGCAAGCGUUGAUCCCCUUUUAGCCCGCUAAAAUAUGGGGUGGUGAUAAUCUCAGUUUCGAUCUUCACCUAUAACUUUGAUAAUAAUUAACAACAUGAGGCUGUAGAGGGCAGUCAUAAUGCGGCUGCCUAUAAGUAUACUGUGGAUGAAGCCAACUUUGUUCGUCGUAUCGCCGCGGAAUAGAAAAUCUAUAGGGCGGUGUCUCUCGUAUUUCCGACAGUGUUGCGUGAUAGUUGGCGGUUGUGAAUCGGUCUUGUUAUCCAAUUUAGGUUCCAGCUUGUCGAGCCUGUCGCUAAUUUGCCUAAUCGCCGUUUGCAGAUUAUUAGUAUCAUCGUCAAUUCGCCCACUGGGUCUAGUGCCUCAGCGGCGACACUGACGUCGUUAAUCGCCUCAAUUUUUCCCACAUAAGGAGCGGUUUGCCGACCACUUGCUCUAUUAGUUCCUCUCGCAUAGCUGCUAAUAAUGCUUCUUCGAAAGUUUUUGGAUCUUGGGAUAUAAGAGUCCUCAUGAUCCGAUAAAUUAUCGCAUAAGAAAUUGAAUCCGAAACCAUUGGUCCAUCUCCUUUUUGUGACUUUGCUCUAUUACCACUCGCUCUUGUUCAAUGGCAUUAGCUAUUUCUAUUUGUCUCCGCCGCAAGACUGACUGCGAAAACUUGAACAUCUUUGCCCCUCUGCUGAAUGCAUGAGUAAGUGUUGCAGGGGAAUCGUAUAUGAUAACUUAGCAAAUCGCUUUAGCAUUUGCAUCUUAAAAUCACGCCACGUAUAUUCCUUAGCAAUUCCUGUUAAUUUGCAUACCGCAAUUCCUAAUUUCUAUCGCUCUGUCCACGAUGGCAGUGUAGCUAUUUCCACGAUCAUGUCGAAGAAAUCUGUGACGCACUGCGUCGGUUCCCCGCGAAGUUCGGAAUCAUUCUCGUAAACAAGGAGAAUGAUCCUCCGGAAGCCGUCUCGACCUCGCCGCUGAGUCCGCCUCACAAGCCAUCUGGAAGUAUAAUAAUAAAUUUAUUUAUACUAAUUCGCCUGUUUAAAUCCGUCUGAGGACUCUUCAAAAAAUAACUUCAAUCCCACUUCCGAUACCACUGUAACACAACCCAGACCGAUGGUUGAAUGAAGACAGCCUUAUGGAAUUACCGCGAAUAUACGGCGUCUUGCGGUACGGACGGGUAGUGAGGCGACAAUCCAGAAACUCAGAGACUACAGUCGAUAUCAUUAAGCUUCCAUUUACCCCAACAAGGAGAGAGAGCCCUUUACAGUACAGUUAUACAAAAUAAGACCGACAAUUAUCAAGAGGAAAUACCUGUUGAUGUAUAAGUUCAAAUCCGAUUGGUCAGUUCAAAGGAGUUUAGAUUUCGCUGAUUCCGGGGGACAGUAGCUGGAUCUUCUACUUGUUCCUCUUUCGAAAAUUUAUGGUUGGGUAGGAGCUGGAAAACUAGAACACAG
rnacentral:lncRNA from 1 species